UGGAUGUUGAAAGUGUUGAUAGAAAAAAAGGAGAUAAAACCAGUUGCAGAAUAUUGGUACAUGAUGUUUCCAUGAGCUGAAUCUGUCCUGCCCUGGAGUACAUGAAAUUCUUCACAAUAUUACUUGUUUAAGAAUUGAAGAAAAGGUUAAAAUUGCAAGCAUAUUUCAACGAAAACUUAGCCGACUACCAGUCACACUGCCCACCAGCCAAGACGUCUGACCAGCUAAAAUGAGGGAUGCAGUCCACCAGCCAAGUCCCUCGGCCAGCUCGGCUGACCCAGUGCGGCCUGUCAAGGGAUGACCAAGUCCAUCAACUAGCUCGGCUGACUACCAGUGCAGCCUGUCAAGUCCUUCAACUAACUUGGCCUAUUACCAGUGCGGCCUGUCAUUGAACAACUAAGUCCAUCAACUAGAUUGGCUUACUAUCAGAGCUGCUUUUCAAGGGAUGGUCAAGUCCGUCAACUAACUUAACCUACUACCAGUGCCGCAUGUCAAGAGAUGGCCAAGUUCGUCUCGGCUUACUACCAGUACGGCCUGUCAAUAUAGGGACGGUUAAGACCAUUGACUAACUUGGCCGUCUACCAGUGCGGCUUGUCAAGGGACGUUUAAGUCCGUCAACUAACUUGACCAACUACAGAUGCGACCUGUCAAGGGAUGGCCAAGUCCGUCAACUAUCUUGACCAACUACCAGUGCGGCCUGUCAAACGAUGGCCAAGUCCUUCAACUAACUUGGCCUACUACCAGUGUGGCCUGUCAAACGAUGGCUAAGUCUGUCAGCUAACUUGGUAUACUACCAGUGCGGCCUGUCAAACGAUGGCCAAGUCCUUCAACUAACUUGGUCUACUACCAGUGCGGCCUGUCAAACGAUGGCUAAGUCUGUCAGCUAACUCAGCCAACUUUCAGUGCAGCUUAUCUUCAAAUAAUAAAGAUAAACAACUGUACACCUGCAAGGAUACCUGUGCAAGGAGGGUGGUAUGCAGCUAGAAACUGUGACUGAAAUCACUGUUUAUAGAAACUUUCUUUUUUUUUUGAAAUACAGCUAGAUCAAAAAUAAAUAGGGUGUUAAUAUUUAAAAAUUAGUGAUGUCUGUUUAUACAAUUAGCAAGAGUAGAAUGCAGUUUGCUAGGUAAUUUUACAAAGACCCUAAUUGCUAUAUGCUAAAAAUGUAUUCUUUAAAACAACCAGAGAAAUUUCAAUCUGUUGUAGAUGACAUGAUGUAAAAUAAGGUACACUUGAAUUUUUAAAACAAUUGCAUGUGCAUUCAUUUAGUUGUAUUUGACAAUAAACCAAGCUAUCUUUAUCGUGUUUGUUAGGUAAAAUUGUUAUUGCCUUUAAUAUGUUUUAAAUAAUCUUUUUUGUUUAAAUUUCAAAAACCUUUUUAUUUUUUUAAAUUUUAAUGAGUAGCUUUUUAAAAGCUUAUAACUGAGUAAAUCCACAACAGGUUAACAGUGUAUAAUUUCACUGGAACUUUUACGAAAGUUUUUAUUAAUAGGUAUAACUUUUUAUAGUUAUAACUUUUUGCAGUUAUAACUUUUUUUAGGUAUAACUUUUCUAUAACUUUUUCAUAACUUUCUUGGGGUAUAACUUUUUUGUAACUUUUUCAUAACUUUAUAAUAGGUAUAACUUUUUUUAGUUAUAACUUUUCCUGGGUAUAACUUUUUUGUAACUUUUUCAUAACUUUUUUUGGGUAUAACUUUUUUGUAACUUUUCCACUGUUUAUUUGGGUAUAACUAAAGUAUAACUUUGUAACUAUUUUAUAACUUUUUGUGUAACUUUUAAUAAGUAUAACUUUUUGUAGUUAUAACUUUUUUAUAACUUUUAUGUACUUGCUGUAUUUAUG